AUUAUUCUCAGUCACAAUAAACUGUAAUAGCAGGGCGCGACCUGGAGGAGGCGCUGCCUCUGCUGUAGCGUCAGAGAUUGAUUAACGUACCGUUCAGCCAAUCACAUCAGACCUCAUACGUUGUAAGCCAAUCAGAUCAGACUUGGGGAGGGGCUCUGUGUACGCACUGCAAAGUAAUCAGUAAUCGGUAACCGAACUGCGGACAGGAUUUUGGCUAAAAGCUCACUAAAAUAAACAUCAGACUUUAUUGUAAUAUACAGAGUGAAAGAAUGAAUAUCCACCUACAGUAUGGAUUUGUGGCGAAUUAGGAUGAAAAUUAGGAGGCAGCAGCUCCGUCGAAGGCCAGCCAGGAGGAGAGGGAGAGGAAGGAGCUGACGGAGACUGACAGGACUGAAGGAGCAGAUUUGAGGUUAGUGAUGAAAGCGAGGGAGAGUUGUUUAAGCUUCUGUUAAAUUAAUACUGAAUUUAGUUUAAUUUAACUGAGAGAAUAAUAAUACCUGUCACCAUGACCAUGAAAUUCUGUUACCUAGCUAAUUAAACAUGACCACAGAGCA